rnacentral:lncRNA from 1 species
CUUUUCACCUGGCUUGCUCAGUAAGCCUAAUUUCAAUUACAACUCCAUAUCCUGAGUAUGUAACACCUGAGUAAUUACAUAUUUCAUCUUUAUUAUUAUUAUUAUUAUUACAAUCUUAGAAUGCUAUUGCCCAAAUGCCCAUUAUACAAAGAUAAAUCCUUUGUGUAAAGUGGUACUAAAGCCUUUUUGAGCUCAUUGUUCUUGCAAUAAAACUGAACCAUUGCAAAUAUCAAUGAGUCACGUGUUUAACUGCAAGAAAAUAAGCAGAUGUAAGUAUAUACCUCUCUGAGCUUGAAGUCAUUCCUACCAACAAACAGAAGAUUUCUUUCAAUACGAUGCAGCUAAUAAUAGAUUGCAAUUCUACUUAAACCACUCAAAUUUGUUGAGACCACUUACCAUGAAUAUCUGGUCUUCAACCAAAUUUAAAAGAAGGUUAAUCAGAUCUUCACAAUGAUGGCUGUCCGAAAGUAUUCACACUGACACUCACCAAAUCUUCC